rnacentral:rRNA from 1 species
GAUCAUGGCUCAGGAUGAACGCUGGCGGCGUGCUUAAUACAUGCAAGUCGAACGAAGACAUCUCGCCGAAGCUUGCUUCAUUGAGAUAUCUUAGUGGCGGACGGGUGAGUAACGCGUGGGUAACCUGCCUUACACAGGGGGAUAACAGUUAGAAAUGACUGCUAAUACCGCAUAAGCGCACAUUAUCGCAUGAUAGAGUGUGAAAAGAUUUAUCGGUGUAAGAUGGACCCGCGUCUGAUUAGCUAGUUGGUGAGGUAACGGCCCACCAAGGCGACGAUCAGUAGCCGGCCUGAGAGGGUGAACGGCCACAUUGGGACUGAGACACGGCCCAAACUCCUACGGGAGGCAGCAGUAGGGAAUAUUGGACAAUGGGGGAAACCCUGAUCCAAGCGACGCCGCGUGAGUGAAGAAGUAUUUCGGUACGUAAAGCUCUAUCAGCAGGGAAGAAAAUGACGGUACCUGACUAAGAAGCACCGGCUAAAUACGUGCCAGCAGCCGC